rnacentral:rRNA from 1 species
AACGAACGCUGGCGGCAGGCUUAACACAUGCAAGUCGAACGCUCGUAGCAAUACGGGAGUGGCGGACGGGUGAGUAACGCGUGGGAACGUGCCCUGAGGUACGGAAUAACUGAGGGAAACUUCAGCUAAUACCGUAUUAGCCCCGAGAGGGGGAAAGAUUUAUCGCCUUGGGAGCGGCCCGCGUCGGAUUAGCUAGUUGGUGGGGUAACGGCCUACCAAGGCUUCGAUCCGUAGCUGGUCUGAGAGGACGAUCAGCCACACUGGGACUGAGACACGGCCCAGACUCCUACGGGAGGCAGCAGUGGGGAAUCUUGCGCAAUGGGGGGCAACCCUGACGCAGCCAUGCCGCGUGAACGAUGAAGGCCUUAGGGUUGUAAAGUUCUUUUACCCGUGACGAUGAUGACGGUAACGGGGGAAUAAGCUCCGGCUAACUUCGUGCCAGCAGCCGCGGUAAU